rnacentral:sRNA from 1 species
UUCUAGCCCUGAUGGGAGCGACAUCCUUUUUCGGUCAUUGCGGCUCUCGAAAGGAUCGGAAAAGAUAUAGCGGACAGCAGGAGUAAAG